CGGGUUGCCCCGUGUUGCUGACGGACCCCCGACCUGGCAGCAACACGGGGUUUCCUC
rnacentral:sRNA from 1 species